rnacentral:lncRNA from 1 species
CCUAUUCUUCAAAGGGACAAGUUAAAGCCUAGAGCCUUCUCUUGUGUUUUUCUGGGUUACCUCUUUUCCAAAAAGGGUUAUAAACUGUAUGAUUUGGUUUCCAAGAAGUGUUUUGUCUCCAGGGAUGUUGUAUUCCAUGAAACUUGUUUUCCUUUUAAGAAUAAUCCUUCUUUUGCUCACCCUUCUCCUUCAUCUUUUCCUUCUAUUACUCCUGCUGAACAUUCCCCUGACACUGAUUUUCCUAUACAUGUUUCCUCCCCUCCUUCCCCUCCAUCUGAUUCUCUUGUUCCUGACUUUACUGAUGCUGCUCCAUCUUCCCUUCCUAUUUCCUCCAAUUGUAAAUAAUUCCAUUUGUAAUAAUGUUGUUACCGCUAAUAUGAAUUACAUUUGGCAUUUAAGACUAGCACAUACUUCUUUUGCAAAUAUGAGACAUAGGUUACCCCUUUUCCAAAAAGGGUUAUAAACUGUAUGAUUUGGUUUCCAAGAAGUGUUUUGUCUCCAGGGAUGUUGUAUUCCAUGAAACUUGUUUUCCUUUUAAGAAUAAUCCUUCUUUUGCUCACACUUCUCCUUCAUCUUUUCCUUCUAUUCCUCAUGCUGAACAUUCCCCUGACACUGAUUUUCCUAUACAUGCUUCCUCCCUCCUUCCCCUCCAUCUGAUUCUCCUGUUCCUGACUUUACUGAUGCUGCUCCAUCUUCCCUUCCUUCUUUCAGUCCUGAUAUUUCUCCCCCUGUUUUACCUCCUUCACACCCUAUUGUGCCACAUCGGAGGGAUUUGAGGUCCUUCGUCUCCUUACAUGGCUUGGGCAAUCCUCACCUUAUAAGCUAGCUUUUGGGGUUGAGUUAGGCCCAAUAUCCAUUCUUAUCAUGGUAUCAGAGCCAGGCCCGUCCCAA